CCCUGGCGGCGAGCGGCGAACGGGUGAGUAAUAUAUCGGAACGUACCCGGCAAUGGGGGAUAACUAGUCGAAAGAUUAGCUAAUACCGCAUAUGCCCUGAGGGGGAAAGUGGGGGAUCGCAAGACCUCACGUUGUCGGAGCGGCCGAUAUCAGAUUAGCUAGUUGGUGGGGUAAAGGCCUACCAAGGCGACGAUCUGUAGCUGGUCUGAGAGGACGACCAGCCACACUGGGACUGAGACACGGCCCAGACUCCUACGGGAGGCAGCAGUGGGGAAUUUUGGACAAUGGGCGAAAGCCUGAUCCAGCCAUUCCGCGUGAGUGAAGAAGGCCUUCGGGUUGUAAAGCUCUUUCGGCAGGAAAGAAAUCGUCGUUCCUAAUACGAGCGAUGGAUGACGGUACCUGAAGAAGAAGCACCGGCUAACUACGUGCCAGCAGCCGCGGUAAUGCGUAGGGUGCGAGCGUUAAUCGGAAUUACUGGGCGUAAAGCGUGCGCAGGCGGUUUUGUAAGUCAGAUGUGAAAGCCCCGGGCUCAACCUGGGAAUGGCGUUUGAAACUGCAAGGCUAGAGUGUGUCAGAGGGGGGUAGAAUUCCACGUGUAGCAGUGAAAU
rnacentral:rRNA from 1 species